rnacentral:misc_RNA from 1 species
AAGUCGUAACAAGGUUUCCGUAGGUGAACCUGCGGAAGGAUCAUUACGAGACGAUUUCAACUGUUUGCAAAAGCAGAUGAACAUCCCAACCCUUGUUUAUCCCAAAAACAUUGUUGCUUCGGCAGAUUUCACGGAUGGAAGGAAAAAUUGAGGAAAAAGCAGUUGAAAAACUAGUUUGUCCCCAAAUCCUCUCCACUCCCACUGUCAGGAGACAUAAUUCAAACUAUAUUCAUCCUUACUGUCUGAAUUUUUUAUCAUAAAAUAUCCUUGUAUCAACAACGAUAUGAAAUAAAAGCACAA